rnacentral:rRNA from 1 species
GGACCCGCACAAGUAGUGGAGCAUGUGGUUUAAUUCGAAGAUACGCGCAGAACCUUACCAACACUUGACAUGUUCGUCGCGACUUUAAGAGAUUAAAGUUUUCGGUUCGGCCGGACGAAACACAGGUGCUGCAUGGCUGUCGUCAGCUCGUGUCGUGAGAUGUUGGUUAAGUCCCGCAACGAGCGCAACCCUCACUUUUAGUUGCCAUCAUUAAGUUGGGCACUCUGAAAGAACUGCCGGUGAUAAGCCGGAGGAAGGUGGGGAUGACGUCAAGUCCUCAUGGCCUUACACGCUGGGCUACACACGUGCUACAAUGGUUGGUACAGAGGGCAGCUACCGGGUGACAGGGAGCG